rnacentral:tRNA from 1 species
UGCAGUGUAGUUCAGUGGUAGGGUACUUGCCUAGCAUGCAAGAGGCCCAGGUUCCAUUUCCAGCACAGCAC